CACAUCCCCCUGCCAUGCUGCAUUUGUGCUUUGGUUUUGCCCUUUGGGAAAAGGGAACAGAGUUGCAAAGCAUGAAACUGAUCUUGUCAUUGGGAGCUGGGAAGGGACAAAGGCAAAUGCACAGCAGGGGUCCAUCAUGCAAGGCACGUUCAGGCAGGAUGGCCCAGAGUGACAGUAAGCAAGGCACAAGUUCUUACAAUUUGGUAUGGCUUGGGACUGCAGAACUACUGUCAUGGUAAAACUGGUCAUUGUCUUUUACUGUAUAGUUUAUUAGUGUGUAUGCAGAAGGCCUGGUCAAAUGUAACAGAGAAGGAGCAGGUAACUUUCUCAGCAACUAAAGGAUGUGAAGAUUUCCCAGCUGUAGAUAAACUCGAUUUCUGGAGGAGAGGGCAGUGGAAAAAGAUGAUAAACGAUGGAGUGUAUACACAUGAUCAAGUCCUGCAGUGUUAAAUUGACCUAAAAAUAAACGAUGCAAACUUUGAGUUAUGUUACUUUGAGUUUUUGCGACUUAAGUGUGCAAAAUAUUAGAAUUCAGAAUUACUGAGAGGAGAUCAGUCUUCAAACUAUUAAGGCAUCUGAAAGCAGAAAACCACUGUCGAGAGCUGAACAGGUUGCUUCAGCUAAAAUUCUGUAGAAUAUAUUUAAAAAUAGUGAACACGCUGAUAUUUUUCUGGAAAAAUUGCAAAUUUGUGUCAGAGCUAAGUGUUUAAAUUCACAGAAAGGAAAGGAAUCACACUAUUGUAUACUUCAUGAAAAACAGGGGAACAAUGUAGAUCUGGACUGCUAUUCCCAAUAGGGUUUUUCUUUUUUUGUGUUCCCCAGUACAUGCUAAAAAUAUUUUGAAUAUCUUAACAUCUGCAUUAUUAUGAAAAAUGGCAUGUCUUUGUUUUGUUUCCAGCUGUGUCAUUCUUGCAUUACAUCUUGUUCCAUUUGCUCUCUUCAGCUGGGAUGUGAAGUCACUUUCUUUUGUCAGUUGUAGGCCUAAUUGCUCUGACUCCAGGACUGCACUGUGUACCACUUGGAAGAAGUUAUUUCUUUUGUUCUGUCUCAACCCAAACUGUAUGUUGGGGAAUGUCGACUUACUUGGUUGUGGAUGUGUCUUCUGUUUGGCAGAGGGGGCAGAAAAUAGGGUAAAAAUAAAGGGAGCUAAGCCUCUUUAAAUAUAGAAAACAUAAGGUUAAAGAAAGACAGGGUAUGUGAGUGUAUUUUGCAUACUACUAUGUAUUAGCACAUCUAUUCUUAAAUGCACCAGUGAGUCCCAUUGAUUUCAGUUCAAGAAUGGAUGAAUGGAUAAGGUAGACCCUCUCAUGUUUGUCCAACACCCUGGCAGGCUCCUAAGGACCAUGCAGCAGAGGAGGAUGGGUAAGUGACGUUUGGUCGCCAUUCUGAUUCCUGUGUCAAGUAUAAACAGCAAAACAGGCAAGAAAGAAAUAGGACCAGACUUGCUGUCAACACAAGAAAGGGAAAUGUUGAGGCAGAGUGAUAAUGACGACAAGAUGGCAGGGGAGGUCAUUAGCUGUUGGAUGCUUUUGCUUUCCAGUACCCUGCCUGGAACACAGGAUUUAUGGGUUCUUUUUGCUUGCCUAGUCUAGGGUACUGCAAAAGAUGAUGCCUAUGCGCUGGUUUCUUGAUUGAUUCAAGCAACAGAGCUGAGUGUUAAUAUUCUUACUCUUUCUCUCAGGUGUGCACUUGUGAAUAGGUUGCCACAAAAAAUGGAAUUUGACUUCCUGGUUUGAUCUGUGAUUCAUUUUUUUCCUUCUAAAGUUGAAGUAACUUUGCAUAUACACAAUGCACUUCAAAAGACACGUUAAGGGGGCAGAGGCAGGCCACCAGAACUCAAGGGUUGGCUGAAAUCAAGGUUGCAUGUGUUACUUUAAUUCUGCUUCCUUGGAUGUAUAUGUUUGUGCAAAAUCUUCUAAUAAAUGGUAAGUAUUGGGGUGGGUUUUGUUUUUUGGUUUGUUGGUGGGGCUUUUUCCCCAGAAGAAACACACCUGUGAUGAAACAAUGGUGUUUAUGGAAUGAAUCAGGGAAAAGUAGUGAGUGAGAAGAUCACAGAUAUUCUGAGAUGGUUUGUUUGCACAAUGCUCUAGCAGACACUUGGCUGCCCUAGGCAACCUUCUCUUCCCAGGGGUUCCUGCCAGCUGCCUCUGUCUUCAACUCCCCUCUUCUGGGCAACAGCACUCAUGGCAACAGCCUCUGGGACCUAACAUAUGUUUAGCGCCCUCUCUUAGAAGAUCCCUAGGUAGGGGGUUCACUUUUUUUGUACCCUUGCAGUGAGCCAGCAGUGUGGCAGCAGUUCCUGGCUUCAUACAAGCUUCCCAUGUACUUCAAAGGAGGUGCUAGGCUGUGCAGGCAGCCUUCAUUUAUCAUUUUAAAGUAGCCAGCAUCCCACUAAUGGUGCAUGUACUGUACUUUAGGAACAUCUCAUCUCUAAAUUUCUUCUUGUCACAAGAGUGGGAAAGUGUGAAUGACAAGGCACUGGACAAAGACAGAGGAGGGUCUCAUGGUCAAGACAUCAGAUGGUAUGAGAGUGAGCUGAAUUUUGGCAGUGCUGCCUGUACCACAGAGUUCCUGCAUAAAACUGUCAUUUUUGUGGCCAGCUGCCCAAAUGCUGGUGCAUGUCUUGUUUUCUAGAUUUCCAGAUCAACUCCAGGAGCCACACAGUCAUUCAAAGCCAGUUUUAGACAAUUUGCUGUGAGAAGGUCAAUAAAAGGCACAAGCACUAUUAAGGAGUAACAAGGAGUAAGACUUAACUAGUGAAUGUAUUACAUGAAACUACAAGAAUCGGACAGUCUGAAGUCUGAAAUGGUCUUGUGCUUGAAUUUGCAAUUUCAGGUCAAACACAACUUAUUGGGAUUUCCCCCCUUCCCCUCCUGCUCCCCCAUUUUUAUGUUCCCCAGAGAGUGGUGCACUUAAAUCACUUAAAUAGAAGCGAUUGAAGCAAAAAAGGUAGUAGACGUGUCAGUUAAUCUAUACCUCUUUUCUAUAUUAAGUUAGUUUUAAAUAGCAUUAAAGGCUCAAUUUAGCGAAGCACUUAGUAAGGCAUCUAACUGCAUAUUUGAAUUGAGGCCAGGAUUGAUAAACUUGGAUACUGUGUGAUAAUACAUUCUAAUAGGAACGCUGCAUCUACAAUGGUUAAUGUGUUGUUCUAAACAGGACUGUCUUCCUUCUGCUUAGAUUUGGGGUUGCAAGUUUCAAAGCUGGUUUAUUUGUGGUUUUGUUUCACAUGUUUUCAGUAAGAAUGGGCUACAAAGGAAAUAUUUUAAGUAAUCGAUUUACAAGCAAAGAAUACUCUCUAAUUUCCCCAAAUACCUGCUAUCUGUCACAGAGCUCAUUCCUGUUUUGAUUCUUUUAGCUGUUUGAAUUUUUCCAAUGCUUCUUGGGUCAUUUGCUGUGCCUGUACAAGAUCCAGUUAAAGCAGAUUUUUGGAAAGAAGCUUCAGAGGCUUCAGAAAACUGGAAAGGAAAAAACAUCCUUCUAAAUUUCCACCAACCAUUUCUCAUUCUUAGUUUAUGGGGAAGCAUUUAAAUUGUCUGAAAGGAAUGUCAUCCUAUAUUGGCCCAUUUGGCUGGGGUAUAUUCCUCUAGUGUGCAGCCCCAGCUGGCUCAUACUUGUAGAUGAAUUGCAUAUUUACACAAAGAACUCCCGCUACAGAGAACAUACUAAGGGAAUAUUGCUGGGUUUGAUUCAUAUGAACAAAUAAAGAACAGCGAUGCAAAUUUGACAGAGAAGUCAAUGGCAAAAGUCUUAUUGAUUGCAGUGGGAUGAGAAUGUGUGGAGAGAGGAUGUACAGUAAUACACUCCUAUUAAAUCACCGUUGCCCCCACAUGUACUUUGUGCUGCUUCACCACGAUUCACUGUGUGUAUCCUUACUAUUCACCUUAUGAAAACUAACUCAAAUUAAAAUACUAUGGAAAAGGUGUUCAACAAAAUCAA